GAUCAUGGCUCAGGACGAACGCUGGCGGCGUGCCUAACACAUGCAAGUCGAACGGAGAAUUUUUAUUUCGGUAGAAUUCUUAGUGGCGAACGGGUGAGUAACGCGUAGGCAACCUACCCUUUAGACGGGGACAACAUUCCGAAAGGAGUGCUAAUACCGGAUGUGAUCAUCGUGCCGCAUGGCAGGAUGAAGAAAGAUGGCCUCUACAAGUAAGCUAUCGCUAAAGGAAGUGGGCCCGUGCGU
rnacentral:rRNA from 1 species